rnacentral:rRNA from 1 species
GGGGAAUAUUGCACAAUGGGCGAAAGCCUGAUGCAGCAACGCCGCGUGAGUGAUGAAGGCCUUCGGGUUGUAAAGCUCUGUCUUCUGGGACGAUAAUGACGGUACCAGAGGAGGAAGCCACGGCUAACUACGUGCCAGCAGCCGCGGUAAUACGUAGGUGGCAAGCGUUGUCCGGAUUUAAUGGGCGUAAAGGAUGCGUAGGCGGAUACUUAAGUCAGAUGUGAAAAUCCCGGGCUUAACUUGGGAACUGCAUUUGAAACUGGGUAUCUAGAGUGCGGGAGAGGAAAGUGGAAUUCCUAGUGUAGCGGUGAAAUGCGUAGAGAUUAGGAAGAACACCGGUGGCGAAGGCGACUUUCUGGACCGUAACUGACGCUGAGGCAUGAAAGCGUGGGGAGCAAACA